GACGAACGCUGGCGGCGUGCCUAACACAUGCAAGUCGAACGGAGAUACGAUUUCGGUUGUAUCUUAGUGGCGAACGGGUGAGUAACGCGUGAGCAACCUGACUCUUAGAGGGGGAUAACACUCGGAAACGGGUGCUAAUACCGCAUAAGACCACGACAUGGCAUCAUGACGAGGUCAAAGGAGCAAUCCGCUGAGAGAGGGGCUCGCGUCCCAUUAGAUAGAUGGCGGGGUAACGGCCCACCAUGUCCGCGAUGGGUAGCCGAGCUGAGAGGCUGAUCGGCCACACUGGAACUGAGACACGGUCCAGACUCCUACGGGAGGCAGCAGUGGGGAAUAUUGGGCAAUGGGCGCAAGCCUGACCCAACAACGCCGCGUGAGGGAAGAAGGCUUUCGGGUUGUAAACCUCUGUCCUUGGUGACGAAACAAAUGACGGUAGCCAAGGAGGAAGCCCCGGCUAACUACGUGCCAGCCGCCGCCGUAA
rnacentral:rRNA from 1 species